CUUGCAAAUUCGUUUCCAUUUUUCAUUUUUUUGCAAUUAAAAAUGCUCUGAGAAUACGAUUGAAGAAGCGAUCAAUUAACACAAUGAAAAAAUGCUAUGGGCUGCAACGAUGAAGCACGUUACAAUGAUAAUUUUCACAGAUUCAGUCACGAUCUUAGAAGGAACCUACACAAACAUAACAAAAGCUAAGAUGGUACUUGAAACUCCUAAUAGGAUUGGCAUGGCUGUCGAAGUGACAACACUAAUUAAACGUCGAUUUAGAUGAAUUACUUUCAUUGAUUGAUAAGAGCAUAAAAUAUGAGCUGAAUAAUAUAUGCAACUUUCAGUAACUAAAAUAGAUUCAGAAUAAAGAAUAAGAGCAACUUUCCAAAGAAACAGAGAAAGUUGGAAAGUUUCCUUUGGAUUUCAUGUUUCUUUGGAAAGUUGGUCUUAGUCUCUAUUCUGUUAGCAGUGACUGUUAAUAUAAUAAAUAAUCCGCAAACGAUGGUGAGGCUGUUCGGUAACAAAAUAAACGAGUAGACUCACUAACAUGAUUGAAAAAUGGUUACUGUCUCGAGUAAUAUUUGUUUGCACAAAGAAACGGCAGGAAACAAUGCACCUUGAAGUUUUUUUUAUCGAAAAUGGUGUCAUGUCUAAAUUACUUAGAAAAUUAAAUUAUAAGAGAGUAGCGGAUGAAGAACAUAUAAGAAAUCAAGUGUCACAUCCUGAAAGAAUCAAAGCGCUUCUUUUAUCUGACUGUGAGAGAAGCUUUAGAUAACUUCUCAAUCACCAUUCUGUUAAGAGAGAUUGUGAGAUAAGAUAAUCAGAUUCUAAAUACUGAAUAAUUUUUCCACUUUUUCUUGUCCACGAGGAUCAGCACAAUUAAACAUUAUAAUUUCGACAGAUCGGAAGA
rnacentral:lncRNA from 1 species